GAUGAAGAACGUAGUGAAAUGCGAUAAUUAAUGCGAAUUGCAGAAUUCCGUGAAUCAUCGAGUCUUUGAACGCACAUUGCGCCUCAUGGCAUUCCGUGAGGCAGGCCCAUCUCAGCGUUAGAAAAUAUUCUCAAAUUUUAGUUUUGUGCUAAAAUUUGGAUCAUGUCAAAGAAGCUAUUACUAUUAUUGUGAUCGCUCUUUGGAAAUUGAUAGGUCUUUGAGUUGCUACUCAUAGAACGUGAUGAAUCUUUCUUCGUUCUAUUGUAAUUCACUCUGGUAGUCCUAAAACUUGUAUGCCUGUGGCAUAUCUUGUAAUUUGACCUGAGAUUGGGUAGGGAUACCCGCUGAACUUAAGCAUAUCAAUAAGCGGAGGA
rnacentral:misc_RNA from 1 species